GUGGGGAAUCUUGCGCAAUGGGCGAAAGCCUGACGCAGCCAUGCCGCGUGAAUGAUGAAGGUCUUAGGAUUGUAAAAUUCUUUCACCGGGGACGAUAAUGACGGUACCCGGAGAAGAAGCUCCGGCUAACUUCGUGCCAGCAGCCGCGGUAAUACGAAGGGGGCUAGCGUUGCUCGGAAUUACUGGGCGUAAAGGGCGCGUAGGCGGACAGCUUAGUCAGAGGUGAAAGCCCAGGGCUCAACCUUGGAAUUGCCUUUGAUACUGGCUGUCUUGAGUUUGGGAGAGGUGAGUGGAACUCCGAGUGUAGAGGUGAAAUUCGUAGAUAUUCGGAAGAACACCAGUGGCGAAGGCGACUCACUGGCCCAAUACUGACGCUGAGGCGCGAAAGCGUGGGUAGCAAACAGGAUUAGAAACCCUUGUAGUCC
rnacentral:rRNA from 1 species